AUGCUGCGGCGGCUUGGCACAGACGCGCCGCGCGCCCGGUGCAUGCUAAUGGCCGGCGGCCGCGCCAUGAAUUAUUCAGCAGCGGCGCGGAGAGGGCGAGCGCAGCGCGGAGGGCGACCCGGGCCGCGCGUCCCCCGCCGCUGCGAAGCGACCGCGGCGACUUCCCAAACUUUCCCGGGUCGGCACCGAGGAUGCGGCCCCCGCGGCGCCGCCGUCCCCGCCCGAGCGCGCCGGCCGCGCUUCCCCCGUUGCCGCCUAUUUUAUGUCUUUUGUCUCGGAGUUGGCACCUGUCCCAGAGAGCGCGUUUCCCUGCCCACCCCUUCGCCGCCGGAUCGUAGCGGGGGAGGGAGUACGGGGGACCCAGGGAGGAGGGGACGGGGAAAGCAAGGCGCCUGCGGGCCCCGCAGCCCGCGGAGACCGCCGGAGAACGGCGGCGGUGCCCGCGCUCCCGGGCACCCCUGUUCUGCGGGAAGGUCGGGGCUGCAACCGCGCCCGGAAUACCAACGAGGCCGCUCGCGGCCCCCGCCGUGCCCGCUGCGGGUGAGGACCGGGCGCCGCCCCUCCUGGGUUCCCCCCUCCGCCGCCCCCCACCCGGGACAGCGCGCGCGGGCGGGGCGGGCGGCGCGAGCUGCGGAUUCGCCGCCCGGGCCCCGCGCCUCGCCCCGCAGCCCCGCGUGCGCGUCCCCGCGGGCACGCCGCCCCGGGCGCUCCCCGCCAGCGCGCCCCCGCUCUGCGGCCCCUCCCGCUGCCCGCCCGGGGCAGGGGCACCGCGCCGCGGGGACCCAGAGUCCUUCCGUUUCGCGCCCCGGUGCCCGCGCGGCCGAGGCGGGGGGGCGGGCGCGAGCUCCCGGCCUGGCCCACCCCCGCCGCCCUGGCACCGAGGCGGCUGCUGGGGCGCGCUCGGCGACUGCGCUCCAAGGCUCCGGCUGCCAUGAUUGCGGGCAGUGGGUCGCGCGCGCACGCUCGGGCCCGGCUCGGGGACCCCCGGCGGACCGACGGUCCCUGAAAUCCCGGCAGCCUGGUGCCCGCAGCCCCGAGCGCGCCGCUGACGGUGGCCAGGCUCUCUGGACCCUUCCCCGUGGGGACAGUGUGCGCCGCGGAGCUCUCGACGCGGCCCCGGGACAGCGCUCGGGGCCGACGGUGGCAGCGGGCUUCCCCUAG
rnacentral:lncRNA from 13 species